rnacentral:rRNA from 1 species
UACGGAGGGUGCGAGCGUUGUCCGGAAUCACUGGGCGUAAAGGGCGCGUAGGCGGCGCGGGUAGUCAUCGGUGAAAGUUCAGGGCUCAACUCUGAAUCGGCCGGUGAUACUCCCGUGCUUGAGCACUGUAGAGGCAGGUGGAAUUCCGGGUGUAGCGGUGGAAUGCGUAGAGAUCCGGAAGAACACCGGUGGCGAAGGCGGGUCUCUGGGCCGUAACUGACGCUGAGGAGCGAAAGCGUGGGGAGCGAACAGG